rnacentral:rRNA from 1 species
UACGUAGGUGGCAAGCGUUGUCCGGAUUUACUGGGCGUAAAGGGCGUGCAGGCGGUUUGUUAAGUGCAGGGUGAAAGCUCCCGGCUCAACUGGGAGAGGUCCUUGCAUACUGGCGAACUCGAGGGAGGCAGAGGAAAGUGGAAUUCCCGGUGUAGUGGUGAUAUGCGUAGAUAUCGGGAGGAACACCCAGGGGGAAACCAGCCGCCUGGGCAAGCGCUGACGCUGAGGUGCGAGAGCGUGGGGAGCGAACCGG